UGACAGAGCCAACGAGUUCAUCACCUUGGCCGAAAGGUCUGGGUAAUCUUGUUAAACUCUGUCGUGCUGGGGAUAGAGCAUUGCAAUUAUUGCUCUUCAACGAGGAAUUCCUAGUAAGCGCAAGUCAUCAGCUUGCGCUGAUUACGUCCCUGCCCUUUGUACACACCGCCCGUCGCUACUACCGAUUGAAUGGCUAAGUGAGGCUUUCGGACUGGCCUAGGGAGAGCGGCAACGUUCACCCAGGGCCGGAAAGUUGUCCAAACUUGGUCAUUUAGAGGAAGUAAAAGUCGUAACAAGGUCUCCUAGGUGAACCUGCGGAGGGAUCAUUACAG
rnacentral:rRNA from 1 species